rnacentral:rRNA from 1 species
UACAGAGGGGGCAAGCGUUGUCCGGAAUCAUUGGGCGUAAAGCGCGUGUAGGCGGUUCGAUAAGUCUGCUGUGAAAGUCCAGGGCUCAACCCUGGGAUGCCGGUGGAUACUGUCGGGCUAGAGUGCGGAAGAGGCGAGUGGAAUUCCUGGUGUAGCGGUGAAAUGCGCAGAUAUCAGGAGGAACACCAAUUGCGAAGGCAGCUCGCUGGGACGUUACUGACGCUGAGACGCGAAAGCGUGGGGAGCAAACAGG